rnacentral:rRNA from 1 species
AGCGUACACGGUGGAUGCCCUGGCAGUCAGAGGCGAUGAAGGACGUGCUAAUCUGCGAUAAGCGUCGGUAAGGUGAUAUGAACCGUUAUAACCGGCGAUUUCCGAAUGGGGAAACCCAGUGUGUUUCGAUACACUAUCAUUAACUGAAUCCAUAGGUUAAUGAGGCGAACCGGGGGAACUGAAACAUCUAAGUACCCCGAGGAAAAGAAAUCAACCGAGAUUCCCCCAGUAGCGGCGAGCGAACGGGGAGCAGCCCAGAGCCUGAAUCAGUGUGUGUGUUAGUGGAAGCGUCUGGAAAGGCGCGCGAUACAGGGUGACAGCCCCGUACACAAAAAUGCACAUACUGUGAGCUCGAUGAGUAGGGCGGGACACGUGGUAUCCUGUCUGAAUAUGGGGGGACCAUCCUCCAAGGCUAAAUACUCCUGACUGACCGAUAGUGAACCAGUACCGUGAGGGAAAGGCGAAAAGAACCCCGGCGAGGGGAGUGAAAAAGAACCUGAAACCGUGUACGUACAAGCAGUGGGAGCACGCUUAGGCGUGUGACUGCGUACCUUUUGUAUAAUGGGUCAGCGACUUAUAUUCUGUAGCAAGGUUAACCGAAUAGGGGAGCCGAAGGGAAACCGAGUCUUAACUGGGCGUUAAGUUGCAGGGUAUAGACCCGAAACCCGGUGAUCUAGCCAUGGGCAGGUUGAAGGUUGGGUAACACUAACUGGAGGACCGAACCGACUAAUGUUGAAAAAUUAGCGGAUGACUUGUGGCUGGGGGUGAAAGGCCAAUCAAACCGGGAGAUAGCUGGUUCUCCCCGAAAGCUAUUUAGGUAGCGCCUCGUGAAUUCAUCUCCGGGGGUAGAGCACUGUUUCGGCAAGGGGGUCAUCCCGACUUACCAACCCGAUGCAAACUGCGAAUACCGGAGAAUGUUAUCACGGGAGACACACGGCGGGUGCUAACGUCCGUCGUGAAGAGGGAAACAACCCAGACCGCCAGCUAAGGUCCCAAAGUCAUGGUUAAGUGGGAAACGAUGUGGGAAGGCCCAGACAGCCAGGAUGUUGGCUUAGAAGCAGCCAUCAUUUAAAGAAAGCGUAAUAGCUCACUGGUCGAGUCGGCCUGCGCGGAAGAUGUAACGGGGCUAAACCAUGCACCGAAGCUGCGGCAGCGACGCUUAUGCGUUGUUGGGUAGGGGAGCGUUCUGUAAGCCUGCGAAGGUGUGCUGUGAGGCAUGCUGGAGGUAUCAGAAGUGCGAAUGCUGACAUAAGUAACGAUAAAGCGGGUGAAAAGCCCGCUCGCCGGAAGACCAAGGGUUCCUGUCCAACGUUAAUCGGGGCAGGGUGAGUCGACCCCUAAGGCGAGGCCGAAAGGCGUAGUCGAUGGGAAACAGGUUAAUAUUCCUGUACUUGGUGUUACUGCGAAGGGGGGACGGAGAAGGCUAUGUUGGCCGGGCGACGGUUGUCCCGGUUUAAGCGUGUAGGCUGGUUUUCCAGGCAAAUCCGGAAAAUCAAGGCUGAGGCGUGAUGACGAGGCACUACGGUGCUGAAGCAACAAAUGCCCUGCUUCCAGGAAAAGCCUCUAAGCAUCAGGUAACAUCAAAUCGUACCCCAAACCGACACAGGUGGUCAGGUAGAGAAUACCAAGGCGCUUGAGAGAACUCGGGUGAAGGAACUAGGCAAAAUGGUGCCGUAACUUCGGGAGAAGGCACGCUGAUAUGUAGGUGAAGUCCCUUGCGGAUGGAGCUGAAAUCAGUCGAAGAUACCAGCUGGCUGCAACUGUUUAUUAAAAACACAGCACUGUGCAAACACGAAAGUGGACGUAUACGGUGUGACGCCUGCCCGGUGCCGGAAGGUUAAUUGAUGGGGUCAGCGCAAGCGAAGCUCUUGAUCGAAGCCCCGGUAAACGGCGGCCGUAACUAUAACGGUCCUAAGGUAGCGAAAUUCCUUGUCGGGUAAGUUCCGACCUGCACGAAUGGCGUAAUGAUGGCCAGGCUGUCUCCACCCGAGACUCAGUGAAAUUGAACUCGCUGUGAAGAUGCAGUGUACCCGCGGCAAGACGGAAAGACCCCGUGAACCUUUACUAUAGCUUGACACUGAACAUUGAGCCUUGAUGUGUAGGAUAGGUGGGAGGCUUUGAAGUGUGGACGCCAGUCUGCAUGGAGCCGACCUUGAAAUACCACCCUUUAAUGUUUGAUGUUCUAACGUUGACCCGUGAUCCGGGUUGCGGACAGUGUCUGGUGGGUAGUUUGACUGGGGCGGUCUCCUCCUAAAGAGUAACGGAGGAGCACGAAGGUUGGCUAAUCCUGGUCGGACAUCAGGAGGUUAGUGCAAUGGCAUAAGCCAGCUUGACUGCGAGCGUGACGGCGCGAGCAGGUGCGAAAGCAGGUCAUAGUGAUCCGGUGGUUCUGAAUGGAAGGGCCAUCGCUCAACGGAUAAAAGGUACUCCGGGGAUAACAGGCUGAUACCGCCCAAGAGUUCAUAUCGACGGCGGUGUUUGGCACCUCGAUGUCGGCUCAUCACAUCCUGGGGCUGAAGUAGGUCCCAAGGGUAUGGCUGUUCGCCAUUUAAAGUGGUACGCGAGCUGGGUUUAGAACGUCGUGAGACAGUUCGGUCCCUAUCUGCCGUGGGCGCUGGAGAACUGAGGGGGGCUGCUCCUAGUACGAGAGGACCGGAGUGGACGCAUCACUGGUGUUCGGGUUGUCAUGCCAAUGGCACUGCCCGGUAGCUAAAUGCGGAAGAGAUAAGUGCUGAAAGCAUCUAAGCACGAAACUUGCCCCGAGAUGAGUUCU